rnacentral:rRNA from 1 species
GUAGGGGACAAGCGUUAUCCGGAUUUAUUGGGCGUAAAGCGUGCGUAGGCGGCAUAUUAAGUUUAAGAUAAAAGCCCGGGGCUUAACUCCGGUUCGUCUUAAAAACUGAUAAGCUUGAGUGUGGUAGAGGUAAAUGGAAUUUCUAGUGUAGCGGUGAAAUGCGUAGAUAUUAGAAGGAACACCAGUGGCGAAGGCGAUUUACUGGGCCACAACUGACGCUGAGGCACGAAAGCGUGGGUAGCAAAUAGGAUUAGAUACCCUAGUAGUCCACGCCGUAAACGAUGAGUACUAAGUGUUGGGGAAACUCAGUGCUGAAGCUAACGUAUUAAGUACUCCGCCUGAGUAGU